rnacentral:rRNA from 1 species
GAGUUUGAUCCUGGCUCAGAUUGAACGCUGGCGGCAGGCCUAACACAUGCAAGUCGAACGGUAACAUUUCUAGCUUGCUAGAAGAUGACGAGUGGCGGACGGGUGAGUAAUGCUUGGGAACUUGCCUUUGCGAGGGGGAUAACAGUUGGAAACGACUGCUAAUACCGCAUAAUGUUUUCAAACCAAACGGGGCUUAGGCUCCGGCGCAAAGAGAGGCCCAAGUGAGAUUAGCUAGUUGGUGAGGUAAAGGCUCACCAAGGCCACGAUCUCUAGCUGUUCUGAGAGGAAGAUCAGCCACACUGGAACUGAGACACGGUCCAGACUCCUACGGGAGGCAGCAGUGGGGAAUAUUGCACAAUGGGGGAAACCCUGAUGCAGCCAUGCCGCGUGUGUGAAGAAGGCCUUCGGGUUGUAAAGCACUUUCAGUUGUGAGGAAAAGUUAGUAGUUAAUACCUGCUAGCCGUGACGUUAACAACAGAAGAAGCACCGGCUAACUCCGUGCCAGCAGCCGCGGUAAUACGGAGGGUGCGAGCGUUAAUCGGAAUUACUGGGCGUAAAGCGCACGCAGGCGGUUUGUUAAGCUAGAUGUGAAAGCCCCGGGCUCAACCUGGGAUAGUCAUUUAGAACUGGCAGACUAGAGUCUUGGAGAGGGGAGUGGAAUUCCAGGUGUAGCGGUGAAAUGCGUAGAUAUCUGGAGGAACAUCAGUGGCGAAGGCGACUCCCUGGCCAAAGACUGACGCUCAUGUGCGAAAGUGUGGGUAGCGAACAGGAUUAGAUACCCUGGUAGUCCACACCGUAAACGCUGUCUACUAGCUGUGUGUGCCUUUAAGGCUGUGCGUAGCGAAGCUAACGCGAUAAGUAGACCGCCUGGGGAGUACGGCCGCAAGGUUAAAACUCAAAUGAAUUGACGGGGGCCCGCACAAGCGGUGGAGCAUGUGGUUUAAUUCGAUGCAACGCGAAGAACCUUACCUACACUUGACAUGCUGAGAACUUUCUAGAGAUAGAUUGGUGCCUUCGGGAACUCAGACACAGGUGCUGCAUGGCUGUCGUCAGCUCGUGUCGUGAGAUGUUG